ensembl:lncRNA
AAAUAGUCUUGUCCAUGUGGACAUUGGUGCCCAAAUGAGAAAAAUAGUGUAUAUAUCCCGACCACUUAAAAGUCAUGCUUUUUCUGAGAGAACCUCUGAGCUCGAAAGACUGUGAAAUAGUAUGUCUGCCUGUACCAGAAUCUUUCCUGAGUAGAGAAUUUCAUCAGGAAGGAAGAGGCCCAGAGCAUGCACAUAUGUUGAACUCUUGAAGGGCACCCAGUUUGAAAGAGAACAUCAAAGGCCUGAAUCACUGUGAAACAUGCUGUCUGCAAGUACUAGAACACUUCCUGAGAGCAAGGGACACUGCCAAACCACUAGAGCAAAAGUUAUGAUGGAUAAAGAGACAGGUGUUCUGGUGACCUGUAACCCCAUCAGGAGCCCUGAGGGUCACCUCCUGCUAAACCAAACAUAACCUUUAUCAGUGAAGGUCACUCCUGAGAAACCCUGUUGAGAAACCCUGCAGACAGGAAAGCCAAGGAGGCCUCCUCCUUCCCAUUGUCAUUGUCUUUUAAGGGAGCUUGAACAGGUUGGCUCCUACAGACUUCUUAAAAAGCCUGGAACACUCUGCUAAUUCUGUGUUCCCGUACUCUUCAACUGAGUCAAGAGAAGAAAACAGAUAUUUGGAACUCUGAUCCAAUCAAAUUAAUAUUCUGGUGAUCAGAAGCCAAGACUGUACAGAGAUUUCUGAGGCCUCUCCAGGAAUUCUGUCCAGAAUCACGCUCUGGAGGACUUCAGUGUGCGAGAAUGUACAGUACAUUGGAUGGACUCUGGGGUCUAAGGAAUGAAGUUUGUCCUCAUUAGGACAAAAAGAUACAAGAGGAACGCCCGAGUACAUAUAGAACACAGGGUGCCAUGAUGUGGAGCCCGAAGACAAGGGAGGCUGCUGAACACUCUAAUGCCUGUAUGAGUGAACUUGGACAUGAACAGUGUAGCUGGAUCUGUUUGCCUUCAGUUCAAGCUGCAAUGUUGUCACCAUCUCCUCUUUAAGCCCAUGUAUCCUUGACAAGGUUGUUCUGCCCUUCAAGCUCAUAUGAUGGUUGUGCAUGUAGGAGACCUAGCCUUCUGUCACCAAGGAAACAGAAAGCAGAGGAGGAAUGUGACCGUGGGAGGCUGCAGGCAAAAGUGAUGUGGGGCCACAACUGUACCUGGAAGCUACAUGGUACAAUCCCUGAGGCCCUGUUCAGACCUUCAUUCUAUUCUGGUGUCUUCCUAGUGACAGCCCUGCUAGCCAAUGACAACAACUUCUCCCUGAUCUUCCCCAGCCUUGCUUCCCAGUCCUGAGACUUGAAGAGCACAGAGGAAGGCCUCUUGUAGGUCAGUCACUGGCUCUGGACCAUUGACCACUACCACUGCUUUUACUUGGGAUGGUGUUCAAAUUGUGGGAUGUCUGAGAAAGCUGGGUUCCACGUUUUUGCUAUGCAACCUGUUCCUCACGUCCUGGACUUUGCCGGCUCCAGUCCUCAGUUGCCAUUCAGUAAGCAUUGUGACGUGUAAGGCUCUCAGGAGAAGCCAGAUCCCAGUGGCAUUAGUGUGACAAACAAGCUGUGCCCAAGGAGCUGACACUCUGGCAGAGUCCAGGACAUCCAGGAAGACAGAGGUGGUGAGAUAUCACCAACUAUGACUCUGACAUCCAAUGAAGCAGUCGAGGGCCAUGAUGCUUUUCUGACUGAGGCAACACAGCCUGGAGCCCAAAUCCCGAGGCUGUGCACCAAAGUCCUUCCGUUUGUCACUGAUCCUGGUGCUUUCCCACAAGAAGUUGCUCAAUGUGGCUACCAGGGAGGCCAAACAUAAGCCUGUGUCUGCAGACAGGAGGGCACCAACAAUGUGUCAAGCAACCUCAUCUGCAUCGUCACAAGCAUCUGCAGUGUGGAUAUCUGGUCAACAUGGUCGUUUGACAGUUGUGGAGCCCCUCCCACCAAUAAAGGUGAAGAACCUGAAGGAUCUGAGGCUGUGCCAGUACAUGCUGGAGAAAUACUUGACUGGACUCGGGAGUAGGAGCCUAGGCAUUGGCCCACAGAUGUGCUGUUCUCCUUCUUUGGAUACCCGUCGCAACAACACAAUCUUCUCUGUCUACUGGAGUUGUCUUGGUUGUAGAUUUGGAGAUCCUCAAUCUCUCAGCUUAGUUCUCUAACGUUAAGUCAUAUCGACUCUUAGCAUAGUACUUUAUUUGCCACUGUUCUUUCUACCUUUAUUUUGCCAGAACUUUCUAUGGGUAAGACAUUCCUUCUGUAACAUUUUAUGAUGUGUAAGACCACACAAGGGUACCCAGAGCCCAUACACAAUGUGCUCUUAUUAUCCUGUGAGAAGUCCAAGCCAGUAACCCAAUCUUAACUCAGUGGUGAGAAGGAACCUAAAACUCAGAACAGGACUUGUUUUCAUUCCUUUCUUGUUAGUAUCAUUCACAACUUCUGUAGAAGGUGGGAGUCCAGAAAGCAAAGGGCGGGAUUUUCUCACAUGAUCUUGACCCAUGUUGGGUUUUCUGUCUUCCAUCUCCACCUUUAACAUUUAAUAUACCACAUCUCUCCAAAGGUCAUGCCUAUUCUAGUGUGCUGCACUCAGUGAAGAAGUUGGAGUAAGCGUCAAAAGAGUGAAGGCCAAGCUCUGACUGUGACAGAGAGUUUGAGAUAGACAACUGAUGCUUUGAAAAACACUUGACUUCUCGCUGGGACCUCCAUCUACUGUAAAUAACCAACAACCUGUUCAAGGAUCAAUGUGCCUCUGAGAUGAGGACAACAAGGUAGAAGGGAGUCCACAGAAGGAAACGGGUCUGAGGGCUAACACCAUAACGCUUCCAAUUCUGUCUUCUAGGCAUCACUAACAAAUCUAUAUAGUCCUACCUCCCAGAAGAUGAGUGAAGGUGUUACAGUUAGGAUGAUUGUUGACAUGAGGCUCUCAGAGGUUCUCCACAAAUCUGAAGGACAAGAUUGAGAUUGCCAUUCUUAUGGUCUUUCCAUAGUCUCCCCUUGCAAUCAGAAUGGACCAUCACUAUGGACCUCAUCUAUUAGAUGCAGGUUGUCUAGCAAGCCUCUGGACAGGCAGCAUGGCAGAAAUCAACUCUUUCCAAAAAAAAGGCUGCUGCUGACACAGUGGAUAGAGCACACACAAGCUCCCUGUCUGACUCCUUCAGCUCCUGCAUGUCUCCUUGGCUAACAUUUCAGAGCUUCUGAUUCUUCAGACAUCAGCUUCUUGAUACUGAAGAGAUUGUUCUACCUGAUGAGCCCAGGCCUAGAAGAUGGACUGCAUCCAAGAAGCCUGGUCCAUCUAAGGCCAAGUCAC